rnacentral:lncRNA from 1 species
GCAUCACAGGCACUUGUCUCAGAAAAAAAAUUCCUAUAUACCUUAAUAUGUUAUAUAAAGGUAUAUAGGGGGGAAAAUUCUGAGACGAGUGCCUGUGGUCUGCAUAUAUUAAUCCAUAAAAUAUUUAAAACUUUUUAUAAACAUCUUUUGGCUUUAAUAUAUGUUAUGGAUGAAAACUAAUAAAAAUUUGAUAUUUUAACAAGCUGCAGUUAAAAGGAGGUCUUUAAUUUUCAUAUCGCUUUGCAUAUCUUUCAUCAAUAUUUGGUGUAUCUCAAGUAGCGUUCUUUUAAGGACGUUAUGAUAUUAUCAUAUAAUGUAUUGAGUUGAAGUUGCAUAAUGUUUGUUUUUUAACUUCUUUUACGCAAGAACAGAUGUAAACUUUCUGACAAGGACAGUGCAGUGUAAUAACUUUGUGUCUCCCCUUUAUAGUAGUAACUCGUCGUUUCAGAAUCUAAUGCAUCCUGUGUAAUAUUUUCAAAAGUGUACACCAAAACGUCCUGAUUGGUUAACAAUGUCAUAAACAAUGGAAAUUUAACCAAUGAUGUGACGUUAUUUUCAUUUUGAGUACGAGCAAUGAAAUUACAUAUGAUUCUUUAAAUUCUGAAAUGGCCAAUUGCUGUCUCACCUCUAUAACUUUUAAUCAAAUUUAAAACAUCAACAAGUCCACUUUAUCGAUAACUAUGUGUUUUGUUUUCUUAAAAUCUAGAUACUCGUACUAAGUAUUUAUUUUAACG